GGAACGAUGGUGUAGGGGUAACAUUUCUGGUGCGACUUGAGUUCACAUAAUAAAUUUGCUAGCGCCAGGAGUCGCUCGUUCGAGCCGUGCUCGUCCCA